GACUUCUUAACUCGCAUUUAUUUUGUGUCUGUUGCGAAAAAUUAAAAAUUAGUUAUAAGUACACCUGUGACAACAUUUAUAAAUUGAAAAUUCGAAUUUUGAUGUUUUCAAGUGUCCAGAGUACGAUUAUAUUUUUGAAACGGUUAAGUUUACGAAAAAACCGUAGGAGACCGUUUAGAGUAUUAACUAUCCUAUAUCUAUCUAUGAACUUGGAGAGCGUUUCAUAGGGGAUUUGCUCACCAAAUGGUUAUUUAUAACACCUUACCCAAAAUGAAUUGAUAUCGUGCUCCUGUCCAUCUAUGUAAACAGUUAAAACUCGUA